rnacentral:rRNA from 1 species
AGCGAACGCUGGCGGCGUGCUUAACACAUGCAAGUCGAGUGCGCGGUUCGUAGCAAUACGAACUGGCGCACGGCGCACGGGUGAGGAACACGUGGGCAACAUGCCCUCCGAUGGGGAAUAACCCGCCGAAAGGCGGGCUAAUACCGCAUACGAUUCCGGGGACCGUCGGUUCCUGGACUGAAAGCCCGCAAGGGCGUCGGUGGAGUGGCCCGCGGCCGAUUAGCUUGUUGGCGGGGUGACGGCCCACCAAGGCAAUGAUCGGUAGCCGGUCUGAGAGGAUGAUCGGCCACACUGGAACUGAGACACGGUCCAGACUCCUACGGGAGGCAGCAGUGGGGAAUCUUGCGCAAUGGGCGAAAGCCUGACGCAGCGACGCCGCGUGGGGGAUGAAG